rnacentral:tRNA from 1 species
GUCUUCGUGGUGUAGUGGUCAGUACGCUCGACGCGUAACCGAGAGGUCCGUGGUUCGAUUCCCAGUGAAGGCG